CAUCGUCCUCUUCCUUCUUGAGAGGAAAUGGAUGGAAUUCACUCUCCACAGAACCGACAGCGUGAUGUCGUCCUCCUUCAGAGAAUCUCCGGAAAUCUCAAAGUCCUGCUGCGGGCGAACGAACCUCGAGAUCCUCGUCCGGACUCCACCUGAAAACUGAAGACGUGAAAACCAUCACACCUCCAAGAAACUGCUGAGGCAACAGUUACUUCAGUUCAUAACUUUGGUCACAGGAGUCGUGGAGCAUCAUUCAACACUUCAUGAAACCACUCUGGUGGAACAUGGACGACUUCAUCGUCUUUACAUCCUCGUCACUCAUGGUCGAUUGGAGCAGAAGGACAGUGGACCUCAGUCUGUCUCCUCUCAGAACGCAAAGAGACAGGAGGAGAAUCCCUUGUUCUUAAACCUGCAGAGGAGCGUCCUGGCUGCCAGCGUCCCAGUGGAGACGGCUGAUGUAUAUUUGAUGAGCCGGUGCUGGGGACCCUCUGGAGGGCUGCGACCACAGCAGGACAAUGAGCCUCACUCAGGUUUCCUGAUGCUCUUUUUUUUUGUUGGUGGAGUCGGUGAGUCAAGGGCUGAAGUUUCAGCUGAGCAGCAGCCGCAGAGGCAGAGUUUCAGGGGAUCAUAAUCAAGCGCUUGUAAUUAUGAGAAGAGCAGAGGGAGCUGCUCCUCAUCACGGAGGAGGAAGGGAACCAAUUAAUCAAUUAAAGUUUAAAUCAGCCAAUCAA